rnacentral:rRNA from 1 species
GGAUGAGCCCGCGGCCUAUCAGCUUGUUGGUGAGGUUACGGCUCACCAAGGCGACGACGGGUAGCCGGCCUGAGAGGGUGACCGGCCACACUGGGACUGAGAUACGGCCCAGACUCCUACGGGAGGCAGCAGUGGGGAAUAUUGCACAAUGGGCGCAAGCCUGAUGCAGCGACGCCGCGUGAGGGAUGACGGCCCUCGGGUUGUAAACCUCUUUCAGUAGGGACGAAGCGAAAGUGACGGUACCUGCAGAAGAAGGACCGGCCAACUACGUGACAGCAGCCGCGGCCG